ACUCAAUUAAUCAUAUUUAAGAUUAAUGAAGUUCUCGGAUAAGGAAACUUGGACUCUUCAAAAGGAACCGGUAACAAAGAUUCUUGAUUGGAUUGGAAUAAUUCUUCAGAAUGGUGUACUGGAUUAAUUGGAUCAGGAACCAGUUAAUUUUCUUGUUUAUUAUUAAAGAUUUCAACGUCCAGCUUCAAAAAUACAUUCAAUUAUUUAAUGUACGGAUUUUCGUCCAAUUCUUCAUUAAAACUCUCAUAUGAUCGAUGGUUUUCGUUCUUGACAGGCUAAGUUUAGCGUUUUCAAUGGUUUCAACUGGACAAACAUGAAUUAAAAUAAGAAAUUAAUGAAAAAAGAAAUUUGAGGUUAUGUUACUGUCAAAAUUACUUCGUAUUGACUUUACGUGGAUUAAAAAACGUAAAUAGCAAAUAAAACAUAAUGAAUUCUAACAUAAUUACAACAUUUUAUUAGGUUUUGUAUUGUGUUCUGCUAGUCGUUUUGAUAAUUUUCUCCCUGUUUGUCCGAUAUAUAUAGCUUUGCAGUUGACACAUGAAAUAGAAUAGACUCCACUGCAAUUGUGUGUUUCCUCUUUAUUCUUGCAAUUGCUGAGCAAUUUAAGAAUGCUGUUGUUAGUUUUAUAGCUAACUUUAAUGUCGUGGUUUUGUAAAAUGUGCCUAAUUUUAAAAUUCAAAGGAUUGUAAGGUAAUGAACAAUAAUUAUCAGGAUUUUGGAUGGUCUUUUUAAAUAGAGGAUCAUGUUUUAUAAUGGUUUUAUACAAGAGUGUAUCAAUAAGUUGCAAAGGAAAUGUACCCCCGUUCCAUAUGCAAAAUAUAUUGUAAUAAAAUCCCUGUUUCCGAAGAAACAAAAAAUGCUAAUUAAAUUUAAGAUCUUUAGUAUUAUAGAUUUGACUAAGUAGUAACGUAUUGUUAUGAUUUUCGCUUAGAUUUAAGAAAAUUUAGGGCGAUGUGCAAGAAAGAUGAUGAGCUUCAAAUUUGACCUUGUCAUUUACAUUUUUGACAGGUAUUGAUUUUGGCGACUUUUCAGACGAUUUUAGAUUCUAAAACCAUGCGAGAUCGAUAGAUUGUAUCGAUUUAGCCCAUAGGCCGCAAUUUCAUCCAUUUCUGUAUCAUUUUAAAUAUUUAAAUUCCAAUUUUUCAUUUCCAAACUUCAACAUCAAAUUACGAUUUUCUCGAAAGAAAUUGACACCCGAAAGCGCGU